rnacentral:rRNA from 1 species
AUAUGCCUACUUAGAUGCCCAUAUAAGUUGAUUACUAAAGUUCUCGCCUGCAAAGUCGCUAUUUACGCAGACAAACUCAUUAGCUCUUCUCAGAAUGCCUUUUUGAAGGGAAGGAAUAUUAUGGACGGAGUUCUAUCUCUCCAUGAAAUUCUUAACUAUACUUAUGUUAAGAAAAAAGUGGGGAUCAUCCUCAAGUUGGAUUUUGAAAAAGCCUAUGACAAGGUUAAUUGGAAUUCCUCCAGAAUGCACAAGAUGUGGGUAUUUAGUGAUACUUGGUGUGGAUGGAUUAAACAAAUCUUUUACAAUGGUACAAUUAGUAUUAAACUUAACAACAGUGUUGGCCCUUAUUUUCAGAGUAAGAAAGAGGUUCGUCAGGGGGAUCCCCACUCCCCCUUCCUAUUUAACUUGGCUGUUGAGUGCCUUACCAAAAUGAUCAAAAACACCAAAAAAAAUAAACUGAUUGUGAGUCUAGCCCCUGAUCUUAUUCCUGAUGGAGUGGUGGUUUUGCAAUAUGCAGAUGAUACUAUCAUUUGCAUAGAAGAUGACAUAGACAAGGCAGUUAACCUGAAGUUGUUGUUGUACAUGUUCGAAAUGAUGUCUGGUCUGAAAGUAAAUUUUCAGAAGAGCGAGAUUCUUACUGUAGGUGGGGAUGAAACUGUUGUCAAAAAAUAUGCAGAGAUCUUCAACUAUGAGGUCGGCCGUUUCCCACUCAAAUACCUGGGCAUGCCUGUCAGUUAUACUAAUUUGAAAACCUCUAAUUGGGAGUUCAUUGUUAGUAAAUACUAG